UGAAACAUAGUUUUCACUUUCAAAAUAGAGUUUCAUUUUUUAAGUUCCAAGUCAUUUUAGUUCAAUGUCCGUUAUCACGCACAUUUUUCAAAUUCAAACAUUUGUCGUGUCUUGUCCUGAUUGGUUAAUUUGCACGGGUGUUCAUUUUAGUAGUUGUUUUAUUAUUUUAUUUGUUGAAUGUCAUGACUAACACCAAGAGCGCUUGACUCAGUUGGUAAGGGGAUUGACCCAUGACCCAAUGGUCAGGGGUUCAACCCCUAACACCCUCACUAUAUUUUU
rnacentral:lncRNA from 1 species